UACGUAGGGAGCAAGCGUUGUCCGGAAUCAUUGGGCGUAAAGCGCGCGUAGGUGGCUUCAUAAGUCCGUUGUGAAAGUCAAAGGCUCAACCUUUGAAAGCCGAUGGAUACUGUGGAGCUAGAGUACGGAAGAGGCGAGUGGAAUUCCUGGUGUAGCGGUGGAAUGCGCAGAUAUCAGGAGGAACACCGGUGGCGAAGGCGGUUCUCUGGGCAUGAUCUGACGCUGAGGAGCGAAAGUGUGGGGAGCGAACAGG
rnacentral:rRNA from 1 species